rnacentral:rRNA from 1 species
GAUGAACGCUGGCGGCGUGCCUAAUACAUGCAAGUCGAGCGAACGGACGAGAAGCUUGCUUCUCUGAUGUUAGCGGCGGACGGGUGAGUAACACGUGGAUAACCUACCUAUAAGACUGGGAUAACUUCGGGAAACCGGAGCUAAUACCGGAUAAUAUUUUGAACCGCAUGGUUCAAAAGUGAAAGACGGUCUUGCUGUCACUUAUAGACGGAUCCGCGCUGCAUUAGCUAGUUGGUAAGGUAACGGCUUACCAAGGCAACGAUGCAUAGCCGACCUGAGAGGGUGAUCGGCCACACUGGAACUGAGACACGGUCCAGACUCCUACGGGAGGCAGCAGUAGGGAAUCUUCCGCAAUGGGCGAAAGCCUGACGGAGCAACGCCGCGUGAGUGAUGAAGGUCUUCGGAUCGUAAAACUCUGUUAUUAGGGAAGAACAUAUGUGCAAGUAACUGUGCACAUCUUGACGGUACCUAAUCAGAAAGCCACGGCUAACUACGUG